AUUGAACGCUGGCGGCAUGCCUUACACAUGCAAGUCGAACGGCAGCGGACCUUCGGGUGCCGGCGAGNGGCGAACGGGUGAGUAAUAUAUCGGAACGUACCUUUCAGUGGGGGAUAACGUAGCGAAAGUUACGCUAAUACCGCAUAUUCUGUGAGCAGGAAAGCAGGGGAUCGCAAGACCUUGCGCUGAUUGAGCGGCCGAUAUCAGAUUAGCUAGUUGGUGAGGUAAAGGACUCACCAAGGCGACGAUCUGUAGCGGGUCGUGAGAGGAUGAUCCGCCACACUGGAACUGAGACACGGUCCAGACUCCUACGGGAGGCAGCAGUGGGGAAGUUUUGGUACAAUGGGCGCAAGCCUGAUCCAGCCAUGCCGCGUGAGUGAAGAAGGCCUCGGUUGUAAGAC
rnacentral:rRNA from 1 species